rnacentral:rRNA from 1 species
UACGAAGGGGGCUAGCGUUGCUCGGAAUCACUGGGCGUAAAGGGUGCGUAGGCGGGUCUUUAAGUCAGGGGUGAAAUCCUGGAGCUCAACUCCAGAACUGCCUUUGAUACUGAAGAUCUUGAGUUCGGGAGAGGUGAGUGGAACUGCGAGUGUAGAGGUGAAAUUCGUAGAUAUUCGCAAGAACACCAAUGGCGAAAGCACUCUGCUGGCCGACACUGACACUGAGAGACGAAAGCUAGGGGAGCAAAAUGGG